CUUCAUGUUGGUCGAUAAAGCUAAAGUAGUAACUACAGUUUUGUUUCUUAGUUACGUGCUAUUUUAAUUUGUCUCACACUGUGUUUUCAUUACACAAAAAAUGUUGGUAACUAAAUUUGUAUGUAGCUAGCUUAUGGCAAUCGGAUUUGCCGCUCUCAACUGUCCGAUUUAAAUUAACAGUGUAGAUCAUUUAACUAUAAUUAAAUUGAUGUUUAACUAUUUAAUCUCAAAUCAACGGCCUGCGUAUACCUUUUACAGCAACAAAUCUAUACCUCUUAAUUUAGGAUUAAAUUGACAUGGUUUAUAAUUUCAAAAAGUAACUUAGUGAUUCACUCAUUGUAAUUAUGGUCCUUGCUCUCACAAAUUUAACAAUAUAUUCAGUUUAGGGUGUAUUUUCAUAAUACUAAUAAGUUUUGGGAUGCAAUUGCAGGCAUGAAACGGGUGCUAGUAGUUGCUGGCCUUUUCUACGAAAGUCCGAAAUCACAAAAUAAGUGUGUUAGGAAAACAUUAAAAUCGUAGCGGAA
rnacentral:lncRNA from 1 species